GGUGGAUUAGUGGCGAACGGGUGAGUAACACGUGAGUAACCUGCCCUUGACUCUGGGAUAAGCCUGGGAAACUGGGUCUAAUACCGGAUAUGACCUUCCAUCGCAUGGUGGUUGGUGGAAAGCUUUUGUGGUUUUGGAUGGACUCGCGGCCUAUCAGCUUGUUGGUGGGGUAAUGGCCUACCAAGGCGACGACGGGUAGCCGGCCUGAGAGGGUGACCGGCCACACUGGGACUGAGACACGGCCCAGACUCCUACGGGAGGCAGCAGUGGGGAAUAUUGCACAAUGGGCGCAAGCCUGAUGCAGCGACGCCGCGUGAGGGAUGACGGCCUUCGGGUUGUAAACCUCUUUCAGUAGGGAAGAAGCGAAAGUGACGGUACCUGCAGAAGAAGCGCCGGCUAACUACGUGCCAGCAGCCGCGGUAAUACGUAGGGCGCAAGCGUUAUCCGGAAUUAUUGGGCGUAAAGAGCUCGUAGGCGGUUUGUCGCGUCUGCCGUGAAAGUCCGGGGCUCAACUCCGGAUCUGCGGUGGGUACGGGCAGACUAGAGUGAUGUAGGGGAGACUGGAAUUCCUGGUGUAGCGGUGAAAUGCGCAGAUAUCAGGAGGAACACCGAUGGCGAAGGCAGGUCUCUGGGCAUUAACUGACGCUGAGGAGCGAAAGCAUGGGGAGCGAACAGGAUUAGAUACCCUGGUAGUCCAUGCCGUAAACGUUGGGCACUAGGUGUGGGGGACAUUCCACGUUUUCCGCGCCGUAGCUAACGCAUUAAGUGCCCCGCCUGGGGAGUACGGCCGCAAGGCUAAAACUCAAAGGAAUUGACGGGGGCCCGCACAAGCGGCGGAGCAUGCGGAUUAAUUCGAUGCAACGCGAAGAACCUUACCAAGGCUUGACAUGGACCGGACCGCCGCAGAAAUGUGGUUUCCCCUUUGGGGCCGGUUUACAGGUGGUGCAUGGUUGUCGUCAGCUCGUGUCGUGAGAUGUUGGGUUAAGUCCCGCAACGAGCGCAACCCUCGUUCUAUGUUGCCAGCGGUUCGGCCGGGGACUCAUAGGAGACUGCCGGGGUCAACUCGGAGGAAGGUGGGGACGACGUCAAAUCAUCAUGCCCCUUAUGUCUUGGGCUUCACGCAUGCUACAAUGGCCGGUACAAAGGGUUGCGAUACUGUGAGGUGGAGCUAAUCCCAAAAAGCCGGUCUCAGUUCGGAUUGGGGUCUGCAACUCGACCCCAUGAAGUCGGAGUCGCUAGUAAUCGCAGAUCAGCAACGCUGCGGUGAAUACGUUCCCGGGCCUUGUACACACCGCCCGUCAAGUCACGAAAGUUGGUAACA
rnacentral:rRNA from 1 species